CAGUCGCCGCGGGAAUACGAAGGGUGCAAGCGUUACUCGGAAUUACUGGGCGUAAAGCGUGCGUAGGUGGUGGUUUAAGUCCGUUGUGAAAGCCCUGGGCUCAACCUGGGAAUUGCAGUGGAUACUGGAUCACUAGAGUGUGGUAGAGGAUAGUGGAAUUUCCGGUGUAGCAGUGAAAUGCGUAGAGAUCGGAAGGAACAUCUGUGGCGAAGGCGACUAUCUGGGCCAACACUGACGCUGAGGCACGAAAGCGUGGGGAGCAAACAGGAUUAGAUACCCCAGUAGUCCCUGUCUCUUAUAC
rnacentral:rRNA from 1 species